rnacentral:rRNA from 1 species
AUUAUACGGCGAAACUGCGAAUGGCUCAUUAAAUCAGUUAUCGUUUAUUUGAUAGUACCUUACUACUUGGAUAACCGUGGUAAUUCUAGAGCUAAUACAUGCUGAAAACCCCGACUUCGGAAGGGAUGUAUUUAUUAGAUUAAAAACCAAUGCCCUUCGGGGCUCCCUGGUGAUUCAUGAUAACUUCUCGAAUCGCACGGCCUUGCGCCGGCGAUGGUCAUUCAAAUUUCUGCCCUAUCAACUUUCGACGGCUGGAUCUGGGCCAGCCAUGGUGACAACGGGUAACGGAGGGUUAGGGCUCGACCCCGGAGAAGGAGCCUGAGAAACGGCUACUACAUCCAAGGAAGGCAGCAGGCGCGCAAAUUACCCAAUCCCGACUCGGGGAGGUAGUGACAAUAAAUACUGAUACAGGGCUCUUUUGGGUCUUGUAAUUGGAAUGAGUACAAUUUAAUUCCCUUAACGAGGAACAAUUGGAGGGCAAGUCUGGUGCCAGCAGCCGCGGUAAUUCCAGCUCCAAUAGCGUAUAUUAAAGUUGUUGCAGUUAAAAAGCUCGUAGUUGAACCUUGGGCCUGGCUGGCCGGUCCGCCUCACCGCGUGCACUGGCUCGGCCGGGCCUUUCCCUCUGGGGAGCCGCAUGCCCUUCACUGGGCGUGCCGGGGAACCAGGACUUUUACUUUGAAAAAAUUAGAGUGUUCAAAGCAGGCUUAUGCUCGGAUACAUUAGCAUGGAAUAAUAGAAUAGGACGUGCGGUUCUAUUUUGUUGGUUUCUAGGACCGCCGUAAUGAUUAAUAGGGACAGUCGGGGGCAUCAGUAUUCAAUUGUCAGAGGUGAAAUUCUUGGAUUUAUUGAAGACUAACUACUGCGAAAGCAUUUGCCAAGGAUGUUUUCAUUAAUCAGGAACGAAAGUUAGGGGAUCGAAGACGAUCAGAUACCGUCGUAGUCUUAACCAUAAACUAUGCCGACUAGGGAUCGGACGAUGUUAUUUUUUGACUCGUUCGGCACCUUACACGAAAGUACAAGUUUCUGGGUUCUGGGGGGAGUAUGGUCGCAAGGCUGAAACUUAAAGAAAUUGACGGAAGGGCACCACCAGGGGUGGAGCCUGCGGCUUAAUUUGACUCAACACGGGGAAACUCACCAGGUCCAGACACGAUGAGGAUUGACAGAUUGAGAGCUCUUUCUUGAUUUCGUGGGUGGUGGUGCAUGGCCGUUCUUAGUUGGUGGAGUGAUUUGUCUGCCUAAUCGCGAUAACGAACGAGACCUUAACCUGCUAAAUAGCCCGCGUUGCUUUCGCAGCGCGCCGGCUUCUUAGAGGGACUAUCGGCUCAAGCCGAUGGAAGUU